rnacentral:rRNA from 1 species
AUUCCAGCUCCAAUAGCGUAUAUUAAAGUUGUUGCAGUUAAAAAGCUCGUAGUUGAACUUCUGUGUGUGCCCAGUUCUGGCUUCGGUCAAGCUGUGGUGCUCACAUCCGCUUGCAAACCUAGUCCGGCCUUCAUUGGUCGACUAGGGGAGUAGGCUUUUUACUUUGAAAAAAUUAGAGUGUUUCAAGCAGGCAAUGGCUCGAAUACAUUAGCAUGGAAUAAUGGAAUAGGACUUUUGUCCAUUCGGUUGGUUAUUGGACAUGAGUAAUGAUUAACAGGGACAGUUGGGGGCAUUAGUAUUUAAUUGUCAGAGGUGAAAUUCUUGGAUUUAUUAAAGACUAACUUAUGCGAAAGCAUUUGCCAAGGAUGUUUUCAUCA